rnacentral:rRNA from 1 species
GACAGAGGGUGCAAACGUUGUUCGGAAUUACUGGGCGUAAAGCGCGUGUAGGCUGCUCGGAAAGUCGGAUGUGAAAGCCCUGGGCUCAACCUAGGAAGUGCAUUCGAAACUUCUGAGCUGGAGUGCUGGAGAGGAAGGCGGAAUUCUCGGUGUAGAGGUGAAAUUCGUAGAUAUCGAGAGGAACACCGGUGGCGAAGGCGGCCAGCCUGGGCCGUCCCUGACGCUGAGGCGGCGAAGGCGGUGGGGAGCGAACGGG